GAUGAACGCUGGCGGCGUGCUUAACACAUGCAAGUCGAACGAAGAAGAGUUGAAUGAGAGCUUCGGCAGGAUUUCUUCUCAUCUUAGUGGCGGACGGGUGAGUAACGUGUGGGCAACCUGCCCUGUACUGUGGAAUAAUCACUGGAAACGGUGACUAAUACCGCAUGUCAUCACCGGAGGGCAUCCUCUGGUGAAAAAAGGAUUUAUUCGGUACAGGAUGGGCCCGCAUCUGAUUAGCUAGUUGGUGAGAUAACAGCCCACCAAGGCGACGAUCAGUAGCCGACCUGAGAGGGUGAUCGGCCACAUUGGGACUGAGACACGGCCCAAACUCCUACGGGAGGCAGCAGUGGGGAAUAUUGCACGAUGGGGGAAACCCUGAUGCAGCAACGCCGCGUGAAGGAUGAAGGUUUUCGGAUCGUAAACUUCUAUCAACAGGGAAGAAACAAAUGACGGUACCUGAAUAAGAAGCCCCGGCUAGCUACGUGCCAGCCGCCGCCGUAAAAC
rnacentral:rRNA from 1 species